ACGGUAGAAAACUGUUCUUUCAAUCGAAACAAUAGGCUGCACUGAAGAAGCAUUGCUUGCACCAAGGAAAAAUACUGCAGCAUACACGGCUCCCAAAAGAUUCAUUAGAUCUUGCUGUUUAGUAGUCUUUUGCCCUUUGUUCCAAAAGAUGAGACCAAACAAAACUCCAAUGACAAUUGUCAAGAAAAAACGGAUGGCAUUAUAUUGAGGGUUUCUCCAGUAAGACCAAUAUUGUUUCCAAAAACAUGCCAUGCACUGAACAAGGAAAGAUUGCGAGUAUUUGGAUGGGAAGUAGAGA
rnacentral:misc_RNA from 1 species